UACGUAGGGUGCAAGCGUUGUCCGGAAUUAUUGGGCGUAAAGAGCUCGUAGGCGGUUUGUCGCGUCGAAUGUGAAAACCCGGGGCUCAACUCCGGGCCUGCAUUCGAUACGGGCAGACUAGAGUUCGGUAGGGGAGACUGGAAUUCCUGGUGUAGCGGUGAAAUGCGCAGAAUGUCAGGAGGACACCGGUGGCGAAGGCGGGAUCUCGUGGGCCGAUACUGACGCUGAGGAGCGAAAGCGUGGGGAGCGAACAGG
rnacentral:rRNA from 1 species